rnacentral:tRNA from 1 species
GGUAAGGUGGUCGAGUAGGCGGCGGGUUGUAACCCCGAGGACAGAGGUUAAAGUCCUCUUCUUACCA